rnacentral:misc_RNA from 1 species
CAACCCUCGAGCCCCCCGUGGCCCGGCGUUGGGGAUCUGCCCAGGCAGUCCCCGAAAACCAGUGGCGGACCCGUUACAGGCCCUUCCCUUGCGUAGUAGCAUUCGCCUCGCAUCGGGAGCCGGCGGGCUUCCAGCCUCUAAACCCCCAUCAAGUCCGCCCCGGCGGCACCAA